CAGACCUUAGCUCCCAUGAUGGCUCCAUCAUGCCCCAUUUGCAGACGGGGAAACUGAGGGAGGAGCACAGAGCUGGUGGGGCCAGGGUGGGUUGUGGAAGGAGGUGGCAUCGUUUCCCUGUGCCAAGCUGCACCCACACUCCUGACAGAGAACCAGGGAAACCAAACCUCUGGGAAGUGACAUGGUUCAUGGCCACAGCGUGGUGGCCUUGAGGACAGGAGCUGGGGACGAGACACAGAACAGAACCUUGGAAGUCCACGUCUGCCGAUGCCCACUUGGGUGGUUUCAUCAUGAUCAAUGACGCGGGGAAUAUUCUUCUACACGUAUGCAAGCGCCGGCGCUGUGUGAGGUGCCAUGACCGGGGUUUCGGGUAUGGACGGCUGCAGCUCUGAGAUCACGUCCAGCCGUCUUCCCGAGCGGCGGUAUCCGUUCCCGACCCGCCAGCAGUGCAGCUGGUCUCGAACACCAUGAUGGCAGGGACUCCGUGUCAGCAGUCUGUCCCUACAGCAGUGCCUGCCACAGUGCCAUGGCAGCUCAGUACUUGCGAUGGAAAUGAACCCAUG